AAACACAAAUAAAUCCAUUUGUGUUGUUGUUAAACAAAUAAGGACAGUUUUUAACAAUUAAGGACAAUCUUUUUUCUACAUGUUAUGUGUCAUGGUUUAAUUUACCAAACUAAUCUUACACUAAUUAAAUAUGUUUUUAGAAGAGAAAAGUCUCUCCUUUUGAGAUUUUCAGUAAAUGGAAUUCAGUAGCAUGUUUUCAAUAAUUUAUUGUAGUAGUCGUAGUUAAUUCCAGUGUAGUAGCAGGGGUUAACAUCCUAAUAGAACUAGUAGAAGUUAAUUCCAGUAGAAGUACGUAGUAGCAGAGGUUAACAUCCCAAUAGUAGUAGCAGUUAAUUCCAGUAGAAAUAGUAUCAUGGGUUAACCUUCCAGUAGAAAAUAGUAGCAGAGGUUAACAUCCCAGUAGAAGUAGUAGCAGGUUUUUAGUGGCUCAGUUAAUGUAGUAGCAUGUUUUGCUGGAAAUCUACACUUUCAACAUAUGUAGUAGCAGGGUUUUAGUGGUUCAGCUAGUAUAGUAGCAGCUUCAGUAAGUGCAGUAGCAGGUUUUUAGUGGCUCAACUAAUGUAGUAGCAUGUUUUAGCAUGUUUUGCUGGAAAGCUACACUUCCAACAGAUGUAGUAGCAGGGUUUUAGUGGUUCAGUUAGUGUAGUAGCAGCUUUAGUAAGUGCAGUAGUAGGUUUUCAGUGACUCAACUAAUGAAGUAGCAGUUAUUUUCAGUACGUACAGUAAUAACAGGUUUUUAGUGGUUCAGCUAGUGUAGUAGCAGUUACUUCCAAUAAAUGCAGUAGUAGCUAUUUCUAAUAAAUGUAGUAGCAUGUUUUCAGUGGCUCAGCCGAUAUAGUAGCAACUACUUCCGGUAAAUGCAGUAGCAAAGCUAUUUCCAGUAAAUUUAGUAGCAGGUUUUUAGUGACUCAGCUAAUGUACUAGCAGUUAUUUUCAAAAAAAUGCAGCAGCAUGUUUUUAGUGGCUCAAUUAGUUGGUAGCAAGACUAGCAACUAUUUCCCAAAAUGCAGUAACAAGGUAUUACCAGUGGAGUAGUAGCAAGCUUUUAGUGACUCAGCUAGUGUUAUAGCAUCAACUUUCAGAAAAUACAGUAGCAUGUAUUUAGUGAAAUCAAUAAAUAGUAGCUUAAUUAACACAUAUUAGUAUAAACUUCAUCAGAUUAUCUUGUCUAUAAAUUGUUAUUCUAAUGUGCAAAAAUAGAUUUAUUCCCACAUCAUGAUUACUGAAUCAGUAGCAAUUAGAUAAUCAACAUGUAAAAGGGUUUUGUAUAACAACAACCUCAUUGAUGACUUUCAUCAAACACCUUAUGUGCAUAACUCCCAUUGUGCUUAAAAACCCAAAAAAAGAUGAUCAAAUCUUAUGAAACAAAUACACCAAUUUGCCUAAAAUCAAUACAAGUUUCCUAAACAAAAUCAUGAUCAUUAUUGAAUCAAAUCAAACAGACCCAACUCUAAUUUGAAAAUGGGGCAUGGAGCAAAUCUGGAAAGAAAAAAAACAAAUAGUAGCAGCCUCUCACUCCUUAUUCCUUUUGGGCUUGGCCGCGGCGGCGAGCUUCUUCUUCGUCGGAGCAGCAGCGGUGGGCUUGGACGGAGCUACGAGGGACUUAACGGAGGGGAUCUUGUCGGAGCUUUUGACCUUGAUGAGCUUAUCUGAGCUGACGAGCUUCUUCAAAUGGUAGAGCAGAAGCUUUUUAAGGUUCUGGGAGAGAGAGAGAGAGAGAGAGAGAGAGAGAGAGAGAGAGAGAGAGAGAGAGAGAGAGAGAGAGAGAGAGAGAGAGAAGAGNGAAGAGAGAGAGAGAGAGAGNNNNNNNNNNNNNNNNNNNNGAG
rnacentral:lncRNA from 1 species